CCUACGGGAGGCAGCAGUGAGGAAUAUUGGUCAAUGGGCGCGAGCCUGAACCAGCCAAGUAGCGUGAAGGAUGACUGCCCUACGGGUUGUAAACUUCUUUUAUAAAGGAAUAAAAGGAGGCACGUGUGCCUUUUUGAAUGUACUUUAUGAAAAAGGAUCGGCUAACUCCGUGCCAGCAGCCGCGGUAAUACGGAGGAUCCGAGCGUUAUCCGGAUUUAUUGGGUUUAAAGGGAGCGUAGAUGGGUUGUUAAGUCAGUUGUGAAAGUUUACGGCUCAACCGUAAAAUUGCAAUUGAUACUGGCAGUCUUGAGUACAGUAGAGGUGUGCGGAAUUCGUGGUGUAGCGGUGAAAUGCUUAGAUAUCACGAAGAACUCCGAUUGCGAAGGCAGCUUACUAAACUGCAACUGACGUUGAUGCUCGAAAGUGUGGGUAUCAAACAGGAUUAGAUACCCUAGUAGUC
rnacentral:rRNA from 1 species